UUAAGUAACACCAUUAUAGUAUU
rnacentral:siRNA from 1 species